GACCUUUCAUGAUUCUGACUGUCAUACUUCUGGACUACAUAAAGCUCUUCUUAGAAAUUUCUUAUGCAAUAUAGAGGUGAAUCUCGGGAACACUAUGAGGGUGCAAUGAGCACUGUAUGCAAGAAAGAUCUGUGGAUUGUAUGGUAACUGAUCGUAUAAAUCCUUAUAGUUGCAGAAGGAUAUAAAUAUUAACCAAAGUUUUACUUAAUCCCUAUUCUGUUACUUAAUCAGUGUUUAACUUGGCAUAAAAUUGGCUUUGUUGGCACCUUUUCUGUUUCCAUUACUCUCAGCAUUUCUGCCUUUCUAUUUUUCCAGAAAGUCUCCUGGCACUGGUACCAAGACUGAUUUGUCUUUUUUCCAUGACCUUGCUUCCAAGGCCAGUUGAAAGACUAGCGAAAACACAAGCAGGGUAGCUCUGUCCUGCUGCUGUUACCAUGUCAGCUAGGAUCACCAGGAAUAUGCCAGGAAUAAAAGCUCUGUUCAGUCUGCACAGCUCUUGAUUGAAGCUUAAUUUCAGAAGACAGAAGCUAUGGAAACACAUUACCAAUUCUUUCCUCUAACUCUUUAUACAUAUAUUUACUUUAAAAAAUUGAAAAAGAUCAAGAAACACACACACACCAAAGAAAACCCAACAAAUCUAACCCCCCAAAAGAAACCCCAAAUGCUACAAUUGGUGAUUAUGAGAUUAAAAAACCUCAGAAUAUGAGAGCUGUUCCAAAGGUAACAUUUCCAAUUUUAUUAUGUUGGCCCAUGACAUCAGAGGUGGAUGGUGGUGGUACAGCAGUAGAGAUUGAACCUUCCCACCGAUAUUUCUUUACAUUUUGUUGCCAUGUGACUGAUGGUAGUAGAGGGGCAGUCUCACAAAAUGGCAUCUGACAUGGAAGUGCAUAUGAAGAAAAGCAACAUGAAGAAACAUGAAAAACAGCCAUGUUCUAGAUAGUCAUGCAGUUUUAUGGCUGCAGUAUGCUGGCUCUUGUUCAUAAUUGGUAAAAAAAAGCAUAGCUAAUGGUGAUGACUGCAUUGAAAAAUAGUAGUUUGUAGCCUUGAAUUUGCUCUAUCAAAUAAUGUUAUUGUGCUCUUUGUAUCUGUUUUUGUUUCUUUAAGAGUGACAUAUAUAUUUAAAAUUUUAGGGCUCAGAAAAUCCUCUUACUUUUAAGCAUGAAAAGGAGUAGGCAUUGGCUUCCAAAUAGUGACAAAAACAUGGUGCUGUCUAACAAGAUGUUUCAUUCCAUCUGAGAUCUAAGCCAUCCUUUGGAGAUGUCUAUCAAUGCACAUUAACUAUACAUGCAUUCCAGCAUGAUUACGCUCCAACUUGGAAACCUCAUUUUGAUGCCUUAUUUAUAUGAGAUGAUUCUUGAACUCUUCACUCAAUCCUUCUCUAGAGGGAGCUGGUGAUAAAGCUGUUACUGUCUUUGCUUAUGACAGAGUUAUUAUUGUUUUCAUCCUAGGAUCUUCAGAUAUAUGCUACUCAUUUUCUGUGGUCUGUACUUGUAGCACUGUAAUUCAGAUGUCAUUUUUUAAAUAUAUGAAAUCUCACUGUUUCUGCAGAACACUGCGUGCACACUCCUCUUGUCUUUUACUACUUUAUAAUUUUAGUUGAUAUCUCUAAGUGGAAUAAGUUGCUUUGCAUUAUUUGGUUAUUUUGCAAAAGUUACAUUAAAAAAACAUUUUUGAUAAUAAAUAAUCAGAUAUGAUGUGAAUGAUGAAUGAU
rnacentral:lncRNA from 1 species